rnacentral:lncRNA from 1 species
AGACUUAGGCAUUAGAACAGAGACCCUGCGCCUAACAGAAGAAAAAAUAGGCCCAAAUCUUUACCACAUUGGCCUAGGAUCUGACCUUCUUAACAAGACUCCUAAAGCGCAAGAAGUAAAAUCCAGAAUUAAUAAAUGGGUUGGAUUCAAAUUAAAAAGUUUCUUCUCAGCAAGGAAUCAAUUAAUAAGGUGAAGAGAGAGCCUACAGAUUGGGAGAAAAUCUUUACCACAUGCACCUCCAACAAAGCGUUAAUCUCUCGUAUAUAUAAAGAACCCAAAAAACUUAACACCAAAAAUAAAACAAAUAACCCAAUCAAUAAAUGGGCUAAGGAACUGUACAGACACUUCAUAGAAGAAGAAAUACAAUUGAUCAACAAAUAUAUGAAAAAGUGUUCAACAUCUUUAGCAAUUAGAGAAAUGCAAAUCAAAACUACUCUAAGAUUUCAUCUCACUCCAGCCAGAAUGGCAUUCAUCAAGAAUACAGGCAACAAUAAAUGUUGGCAAGGAUGUGGUGAAAAAGGUACACUCAAACGUUGCUGCUGGAACUGAAAAUUGGUGCAGUCAUUUUGGAAAGCAGCGUGGAGAUUCCUCAGAAGGGAACCGCCAUUUGACCCAGCUAUCCCACUCCUUGGUUUAUACCCAAAGGACUUAAAAUCAGCAUACUACAGUAAUGCAGCCACAUCAAUGGUUAUAGCAGCUCAAUUCACAAUAGCUAGACUAUGGAACCAAACUAAGUGUCCCUAGAUGAAUGGAUAGACAGAUGAAUGGAUAAAGAAAAUGUGGUAUAUAUACUCAAUGGAAUAUCACUCAACUUUAAAGAAAAGUGAAAUUAUGGCAUUUGCCAGUAAAUGGUUGGAGUUGGAGAAUAUCAUGCUAAGCGAAAUAAGCCAAUCCCACAAAACCAAAGACUGAAUGUUUUCUCUAAUAUGCAGAUGCUAAUUCACAAAAAGGCAGGGGGCACUAGGGAAGAAUAGUGUUACCUUAGAUUAGGUAGAGGGAGGUGAUGGGAGGGGAAAGGAGAGGAUGUAGGGAUAGGAAAGAUAGUAGAAUGAAACAGACAUUAUUACUUUAUGUAUAUAUGUGACUACAUGACCAAUAUGAUUCUGCAACAUGUACACUCAGAAAAGUAAGAAAUUAUAUCCCAUCUAUGUAUGAUAUAUCAAAGUGCAUAAAUGCAUUCUACUGUCAUGUAUAACUAAUUUUAAAACAAAUUUUAAAAGUUUAAAUCCCCUAAAAUAAAAAAAUAAAUUGAUGGAUAGUUCUCAAGGGAUGUUCUGAAAACUAUGAACCAUUUAACAAAGAGUAAUUCCACUUUUAGAAAUCAGAUGUUCAGCUGAGCACAGUUGCAGUUGUGUAGGGACACACGCCCUACGGGCUCAGUUGUGCAUGCCUGUAAUCCCAGAGGCUUUGGAGGCAGAGGAGAAAGACAGUUCAAAGUCAGCCUCAGUAACUUAGGGAGGCCCUAAGCAACUUAGUGAGACCUUGUCUCUAGAAAAAAAU